rnacentral:misc_RNA from 1 species
GGAGAACUAAAAUUUGGCAAAAUUGAUCAGAUGGAACUCGUUGUGAUAAUCAAGUGGCUCUUCAUAUCACAUCAAAUCCAGUGUUUCAUGAAAGGACCAAGUCACUUUGUCGGAGAAAAAAUACUCUCAGGAGAUAUUGUUACAAAAUUCGUGAAGUCAAAUGAUCAGCUUGCAGAUAUCUUCACCAAGUCCCUCAUAGUCCUCGUAUUAAUUACAUUUGUA